rnacentral:rRNA from 1 species
GACGAACGCUGGCGGCGUGCUUAACACAUGCAAGUCGAACGGAAAGGCCCUGCUUGCAGGGUGCUCGAGUGGCGAACGGGUGAGUAACACGUGGGUGAUCUGCCCCUUACUUUGGGAUAAGCCUGGGAAUCUGGGUCUAAUACUGGAUAGGACCAUGCUGUAGGUGGUGUGGUGGAAAGAUUAGUUUCGGUAAGGGAUGAGCUCGCGGCCUAUCAGCUUGUUGGUGGGGUAAUGGCCUACCAAGGCGUCGACGGGUAGCCGGCCUGAGAGGGUGGACGGCCACAUUGGGACUGCGAUACGGCCCAGACUCCUACGGGAGGCAGCAGUGGGGAAUAUUGCACAAUGGGCGCAAGCCUGAUGCAGCGACGCCGCGUGGGGGGUGACAGCCUUCGGGUUGUAAACUCCUUUCAGCCAUGACGAAGCCCUUGUGGUGACGGUAGUGGUAGAAGAAGCACCGGCUAACUACGUG